rnacentral:rRNA from 1 species
AGAACGAACGCUGGCGGCAGGCCUAACACAUGCAAGUCGAACGCCCGUAGCAAUACGGGAGUGGCAGACGGGUGAGUAACGCGUGGGAACGUGCCCUUCGGUUCGGAAUAACUCAGGGAAACUUGAGCUAAUACCGGAUACGUCCGUAAGGAGAAAGAUUUAUCGCCGAAGGAUCGGCCCGCGUCGGAUUAGCUAGUUGGUGAGGUAACGGCCCACCAAGGCGACGAUCCGUAGCUGGUCUGAGAGGAUGAUCAGCCACACUGGGACUGAGACACGGCCCAGACUCCUACGGGAGGCAGCAGUGGGGAAUAUUGGACAAUGGGCGCAAGCCUGAUCCAGCCAUGCCGCGUGAGUGAAGAAGGCCUUAGGGUUGUAAAGCUCUUUCAGCGGGGAAGAUAAUGACGGUACCCGCAGAAGAAGCCCGGCUAACUUCGUGCCAGCAGCCGC